GUGCCAGCAGCCGCGGUAAUACGUAGGGGGCAAGCGUUGUCCGGAUUUAUUGGGCGUAAAGAGCUCGUAGGCGGUUGGGCAAGUCACGUGUGAAAUCUCCACGCUCAACGUGGAGGCGCCACGUGAGACUGCCCUGACUCGAGUCCGGUAGGGGAGCGUGGAAUUCCCGGUGUAGCGGUGAAAUGCGCAGAGAUCGGGAGGAACACCCGUAGCGAAGGCGGCGCUCUGGGCCGGUACUGACGCUGAGGAGCGAAAGCGUGGGGAGCAAACAGGAUUAGAUACCCCCGUAGUCC
rnacentral:rRNA from 1 species